GACGAACGCUGGCGGCGUGCUUAGCACAUGCAAGUCGAACGCUGAAGCCCUUCGGGGUGGAUGAGUGGCGAACGGGUGAGUAACACGUGGGUAAUCUGCCCUGCACUCUGGGAUAAGCCUUGGAAACGGGGUCUAAUACCGGAUAGGACACAUCGCCGCAUGGUGUGUGUGGAAAGUUCUGGCGGUGCAGGUUGAGCUCGCGGCCUAUGAGCUUGUUGGUGGGGUGAUGGCCUACCAAGGCGACGACGGGUAGCCGGCCUGAGAGGGUGACCGGGCACACGGGCACUGGGACACGGACCAGACGCCGUCGGGAGGCAGCAGUGGGGUAUCUAGCGCAAUGGGCGAAAGCCUGACGCAGCAACGACGCGUGGGGGAGGACGGCCUUCGGGUUGUAAACCUCUUUCGACCGGGACGAAGGAUUCGUUUGACGGUACCGGUAGAGGAAGCACCGGAUAACUACGUGCCAGCCGCCGCUGUAA
rnacentral:rRNA from 1 species